GCCGGGCCUGGUGGCAUGUGCUUGUAGUCCCAGCUACUCGGGAGGCUGAGAUGGGAGGAUCGUUUGAGCCCAGGAGUUCUGGGCUGUAGUGCACUAUGCCUAUCAGGUGUCCACACUAAGUUCAGCAUCAAUAUGGUGAUCUCCCGGGAGUGGGGGUCCACCAGGUUGCCUAAGGAGGGGUGAACCAGCCCAGGCUGGAAACGGAGCAGGUCAAAACUCCUGUGCUGAUCAGUAGUGGGAUCGUGCCUGUGAAUAGCCACUGCACUCCAGCCUGGGCAACAUAGCGAGAUCCCAUCUCU
rnacentral:SRP_RNA from 1 species